AUUGAACGCUGGCGGAAUGCUUUACACAUGCAAGCCGAACGGCAGCACGGACUUCGGUCUGGUGGCGAGUGGCGAACGGGUGAGUAAUGUAUCGGAACGUGCCCAGUCGUGGGGGAUAACGUAGUGAAAAUUACGCUAAUACCGCAUACGAUCUAUGGAUGAAAGCGGGGGAUCGCAAGACCUCGCGCGAUUGGAGCGACCGAUAUCAGAUUAGGUAGUUGGUGGGGUAGAGGCCCACCAAGCCAACGAUCUGUAGCCGGUCUGAGAGGCAGACCAGCCACACUGGAACUGAGACACGGUCCAGACUCCUACGGGAGGCAGCAGUGGGGAAUUUUGGACAAUGGGCGAAAGCCUGAUCCAGCCAUUCCGCGUGCAGGAUGAAGGCCCUCGGGUUGUAAACUGCUUUUGUACAGAACGAAAAGGUUUCUACUAAUACUAGGAGCUCACGACGGUACUGUAAGAAUAAGCACCGGCUAACUACGUGCCAGCCGCCGCGGUAA
rnacentral:rRNA from 1 species